AACAUGUAUUUUCAACCAUCAAAAUCUGUCGAAAACAUUAAAAAUAUGUCGGUAAUGACCUUUUUUUGACUAAUUUUUUACGGACCAAAAUCUAUGGGUAAAAGUGUCAUCAGUAAUAUUUAACGCUGAAAAUUUUUGUGUCCAUAAUUAUUGAAGGAAAAAUACGUCGAUAAUAAUCAAACAAAAAAUCCGUUGGUAAAUUCUGUUAAUAAAGAUAGUGAUCUUGUUCAUAUUCUCCCUCCUCUCUUUGUCUUAUUCUUUCUUUAGUUUUUUUUUCUAUGUUCUCCAUCACCUCCUAAUUU
rnacentral:lncRNA from 1 species